rnacentral:rRNA from 1 species
CUUGAAAAAGGGAGUUCAAGAAGAGCUUCGAAGAAGCUUUCUUGAUGGAGGGGAGUGGCAGACGGGUGAGUAACGCGUGGGAACAUACCCUUAUCUUCGGAACAACUCCGGGAAACUGGAGCUAAUACCGAAUGUGCCCUUAGGGGGAAAGAUUUAUCGGAUAAGGAUUGGCCCGCGUUGGAUUAGCUAGUUGGUGGGGGAAAGGCCUACAAAGGCGACGAUCCAUAGCUGGUCUGAGAGGAUGAUCAGCCACAUUGGGACUGAGACACGGCCCAAACUCCUACGGGAGGCAGCAGUGGGGAAUAUUGGACAAUGGGCGCAAGCCUGAUCCAGCCAUGCCGCGUGAGUGAUGAAGGCCUUAGGGUUGUAAAGCUCUUUCACCGGAGAAGAUAAUGACGGUAUCCGGAGAAGAAGCCCCGGCUAACUUCGUGCCAGCCGCCGCCGUAACAC